CGCCACUGCACUCCAGCCUGGGCGACAGAGCUAGACUCCGUCUCAAAAAAAAAAAAAGAAAUGGGAAAACAUUGAGGAUGAAGUAGCAAAUAUUUGAGAAUUCAACUUGAUUGGUGGCUGUUGCAGGUUCAUAUGUGAGUGGUUACGUAGUGGGUAGUUAAACUGGCAAUGACCAGCUGAAUUUUGGUGACAGGACUGCUCCUAAGGUUUGAAAUGUAGCGUACCCUCUGAUUCACAGGCUAAGCUCUGCCACUUAGCAGGAGGAGCUCAUGAUAGAGCAGGUUGAGGGGAAAACUUUGCCCCAUAAGGGUUCCUCACUGCAAGUGAGAAGGUCUUGGCUUUGAGCCUCCAAUUUCAAUCAGACAGAAAGCAGACCAGUCGGCAGGACAGUGUAUGCCUCUGGAGAUCCGUGCUGAUGUGGGGGCCUCAGAUACACGAUGCCUCAGGGCCCAGGCGUGACCCUCUCCUUCCCUCCUGCACGGGGAUGCUGUGAGAAUUAGACACUCCCACAGGGCCCUGUCAGACACUGAGCUAGCCUCUGGGAACCGGAAGAUAUUCAAAACACCGGCCACCCCACACACACACAGACACAAGGCGCUGGAGGGACAGCUGUGCAGCGGCAGAGCAUGGGAGGUCUUGAUCAGUUAACUCAGUGAGGUUAGGAGGCGAAUUUUUUUUUUUUUUUGAGAUGGAGUCUUACUCUGUCACCCAGUCAGGAGUGCAGUGGCGUGAUCUCGGCUCACUGCAAGCUCCGCCUCCUGGCCUCAAGCGAUUCUUCCGCCUCAGCCUCCGGAGUAGCUGGGACUACAGGUGCGUGCCACCACACCCAGCUAAUUUUUGUAUUUUUGGUAGAGACAGUGUUUCACCACGUUGGACAGGCUGGUCUCAAUCUCUUGACCUCGUUAUCUGCCUGCCCUGGCCUCCCAAAGUGCUGGGAUUAUAGGUGUGAGCCACAAAGCCUUUUUGUUUUCAUUUUUGAGAUGGAGUCUCGCUCUGUCGCCCAGGCUGGAGUGCAGUGGCGCAAUCUUGGCUCACUGCAAGCUCCGCCCUCCUGGGUUAACGCCAUUCUCCCUUCUUAGCCUCCCAAGGCUACAGGCGCCUGCCUACAGGCCCGGCUAAUUUUGUUUUUGUAUUUUUAGUAGAGACGGGGUUUCACCAUGUUAGCCAGGAUGGUCUCGAUCUCCUGACCUCGUGAUCCACCCACCUUAGCCUCCAAAAGUGCUGGGAUUACAAAUGUGAGCCACCACGCCCAGCCUUUUUUUUUUUUUUUAGACGAAGUCUCUGUCACCCAGGCUAGAGUGCAGUGGUGUGAUCUCGGCUCACUGCAACCUCCGCUUCCCGGGUUCAAGUGAUUCUCCUGCCUCAGCCUCGCAGGUAGCUGGGAUUACGGGCUCGUGCCACCACACCUGGCUAAUUUUUAUAUUUUAUUUAUUUAUUUAUUUAUUUAGAGAUGGAGUCUCGCUCUGUCGCCCAGGCUGGAGUGCAGUGGCAUGAUCUCAGCUCACUGCAACCUCUGCAUCCCAGUUCAAGCAAUUCUCCUGCCUCGGCCUCCUGAGUGGCUGGGAUUACAGGUGCCCGCCACCACACUCGGCUAAUUUUUUGUAUUUUUAGUAGAGAUGGGGUUUCACCGUGGUGGCCAGGCUGGUCUCAAACUCCUGACCUCAAAUGAUCUGCCUGCCUCAGCUUCCCAAAGUGCUGGGAUGACACUGAGCCACCGCGCCUGGCAAGGAGACAGUCUCGCUCUGCUCUUCCAGUUUGAAUAUCACGCAGGCUGGAGCGCAGUGGCGCAAUCUCGGCUCACUGCAACCUCUGCCUCCUGGGUUCAAGCAAUUCUGCCUCAGCCACCCGAGUAGCUGGGAUUACAGGCACACGCCACCACGCCCGGCUAAUUUUUGUAUUGUAUUAGAGACAGGGUUUCACCAUGUUGGCGAGGCUGGUCCCGAACUCCUGGCCUCAAGUGAUCUGCCCGCCGUUCGCCUCAGUGUCCCGAGGUGCUGGGAUUACAGGUGUGAGCCACCGCACCCAGCAAAAGUGCUUUCUUGAGAUGGAAUCUGCGCCUGGUGAAGAUGCUCUAAACAUUGCUGAGAUAACAAAGGAUUUAGAAUAUUCCAUAAACUUCGUUGGUACAGCAGCGAUAGGGUUCGAGAGGAUUUUCCAGUUGUGAGAGAAGGUCUGCUGUGGACAAAAUGCUACCAAACAGCAUCGCGUGCUACGGAGAAAUCUUUUGUGAAAGGAAGAAGCUCAAUGUGGCCAGCUUUAUUGUUGUCUUAUUUUAAGAAAUUGCCGGCCAGGUGUGGUGGAGAAUCACUUGAACCCAGGAGGCAGAGGUUGCAGUGAGCCGAGAUUAUGCCAUUGAACUCCA
rnacentral:lncRNA from 1 species